rnacentral:rRNA from 1 species
UACGGGGGGGGCAAGCGUUGUUCGGAAUUACUGGGCGUAAAGGGCGCGUAGGUGGUCAGACUAAGUCAGGUGUAAAAUUUCUGGGCUUAACCCAGAACGGUCAUUUGAUACUGGUCGCUAGAGUCCGGAAGGGGUUACUGGAAUUCCAGGUGUAGCGGUGAAAUGCGUAGAUAUCAGGAGGAACACCGGAGGCGAAGGCGGGUAACUGGGCCAACACUGACACUGAGGCGCGAAAGCCAGGGGAGCAAA